GAGGAGUAAGCCCAUUAUAUUAGAGUAUUAGGGUUUCAACACAGCCGCCAAACUUUCACUUCCUCUCUCAUUUCAUUUCUCUCUCUGUCUUGCUCUCUCUCCUCACUCAAUCUCCUCCCUCCAAUUUUGUUCAGUUUUGCUUGAUAAUGUUAGAUAUUUGAAACAACGAUGAGAAUAAUCUUAUCUUCUUCUCUGAGCUUUGAAGAUCAACAAUGGCGGGUAAAUACAUCGUCGGCUCACUCGUUGGAUCCUUUUCGUUGCUUAUGAUUGCGAUUACAUAAUGUCUGAUCAGAAGAUUUUCGGAGGCAUGGCCUCGUACUACUGGACCUCCGGUGGUGAUGAACCCUAUCAGUCGUCAGAACUUCAUCAUCAAGACUACUGAAUCUUGAAGGUUCCUAAGGCAGCCUCAGAAUUUGAGAUCAAAGUUGCAACAUGGAAAAAUGGUGGAAGAUGUAUAUUAUUACUAUUGAGAUUUGUUUUGCUCUAUUUUUAUAGUUUUUAUUAGGUUAUAAAGAAUGUAGACAUUUAUUUUUAUUUUAUUUUUAUUUUUUUGAAAGAAGAAUGUAGGCAUUUACAUUCUUGUAAUAAAGAAUGUAAGCAUUUUUUUUUUAAAGAAGAAUGUAGGAUUGUAUAUAAUGUGUGUAAAAUAUAAUUUUAUAAAUUUCUCUAAUUAAUGGAUAAUGAUUGUGCAAGUCCAA